rnacentral:rRNA from 1 species
CGUUCUUUGAUUAAAAGUAAUAAAGAAUCGAGCCUGCCCAGUGAUUUAUUUAACGGCCGCGGUACUCUGACCGUGCAAAGGUAGCAUAAUCAUUUGCCCUAUAAUUGAGGGCUAGUAUGAACGGUUUGUCAAAAGUGAUCCUGUCUCCAUAAAAUUUUAUAAAAUUUGGUCUCUUGGUGAAGAAACCUAGAUAUAAUUAAUAGACAAGAAGACCCUAUCGAGCUUAAAAAAAUUUUAUUAAAUAAUACAAACUACUAAUAAAAAAUUUUAGUUGGGGCGACUAAGGAACAACAAAAGCUUCCUUAAAAAAUAAAACCUUAUAAGGAAUGAUCCAUAAUAAUGAUUAAAAAAAUUAGUUACCGUAGGGAUAACAGCAUAAUCUUUUUUAAGAGUUCAUAUCGAAAAAAAGGUUUGUGACCUCGAUGUUGGACUAGGAUAACCAAAAGAUGCAGAAGUCUUUUAAGGUUGGUCUGUUCGACCAAUAAAAUCCU